rnacentral:rRNA from 1 species
GACGAACGCUGGCGGCGUGCUUAACACAUGCAAGUCGAACGGAAAGGCCCUGCUUGCAGGGUGCUCGCGUGGCGAACGGGUGAGUAACACGUGGGUGAUCUGCCCCUUACUUUUGGAUAAGCCUUGGAAACUGGGUCUAAUACUGGAUAUGACCAUGCUGUCGGUGGUGUGGUGGAUGGAUUAGUUUCGGUAAGGGAUGAGCUCGCGGCCUAUCAGCUUGUUGGUGGGGUAAUGGCCUACCAAGGCGUCGUCGGGUAGCCGGCCUGAGAGGGUGGACGGCCACAUUGGUGCUGCGAUACGGCCCAGACUACUCCGAGGGGCAGCAGUAGGGGGUAUUACACAAUAGGCGGAAGAAGGAUGCAGCGACGACGCGUGGGGGAUGACGGCCGUCGGCUUGUAAAAUACUUUCAGCGAUGGCGAAGCCGUUGUGGUGACGGUAGUGGUAAAAGAAGCACCGGCUAACUACGUG